AUGUUUGGCUAAAGAGGCUAAUGUUGCAGUGUUUUUCUGGCAUCUUUGUAAAUCAGUUGUUUUUAUAGCUGGAAUAACACGUUGAGGCAUCGCGCUGUGAGGUAUCAUUCAGGCGUGUAAGCUGUGGUGGCAUAUGCUGUGAGCUACGGUACAAUGUGUGGUUCUGUGAUCAUUAUCUGUCAGUGAUUGCGUUGUGUGUGGGUCUUAUGGGAACCACUGGACGAUUGAUUUGCUGAAUGAGCGCUCUUAAGACAAUACUGCGGUGGCUGGUUGCUGCUUAAAUGCCUUGAGACGGCGCUGCUGUCUUGCUGAUUCUCUGCUUCGCUUCUUUGCUUCGCUCCUCUGCUGGUGGCUCUGCUUUGCUGUGCUCUUUGGCUGCAUUGCUCUGCUGCAUGUGUGCAGAUUUUCCUUUUUUUUGUUUUGUUGUUUUAUACCACAGCUGGUGGCUGGAGUAGGACUGCUUUCAAUCUAUUCCUCGCCGCAUGUGUGACGUGUGCAUGGGCCUCUAGUUACCGCCACUGGCUGUUUGUAAGUGUGUGUGAAAUUGAUUAUUGUCUUCAAAAGUUUAAUAAUUCAUACAAUUGUAUGAAUUAAUUUGUUUUUUUCAUUUUGUUUAUGAAUAUUCUGUUGGUUAAAAACUAAUCUCUUUGUUUGAGUUAUUCAGUGAUUUCUUUGACUGAUUACCAACUGUAAGUCCCCCCCCCAACAUCUUGGAAAUCACUUUUAUUAUAAUUUGUUUUGUUUAUUCAUUCAUUAAUGGUCUUUUUUGUUUGUUUCAGGCAGCCAGGCCCCGGGUCGGGAGGCUAGCUUUCUUGCCGUGUGGUGGUGGUCUUUGAGCACGGAGUGUGGUUUGCCGCUUGUAACUGCUUACACUUCACUGUGUGUGUGUGUGUGUGUGGUUUUGCCUAGGAUAAUUACUCUUUGCUAGCCUGCCCGGCUACGGUAAAGCCUUGGUUGCCUUAAAGUUUGUUUUGUGUGUCUGUGGAAAAUUGACGCAUUGUGGCUUCUAUAGCAAUAUGUUAUAAUUGAUAUUGAAUGUUUUACCCAUUUGUGUGAUUAAAUAAAAUAUAUUUUUGUACUGCCA